UACGUAGGGGGCAAGCGUUGUCCGGAAUCAUUGGGCGUAAGCGCGUGUAGGCGGCCAGAAAAGUCCGCUGUGAAAACUCGAGGCUCAACUUCGAGCUGUCGGUGGAAACUUUCUGGCUAGAGUCCGAAGAGGAGAAUGGAAUUCCUGGUGUAGCGGUGAAAUGCGCAGAUAUCAGGAGGAACACCGGUGGCGAAGGCGGAUCUCUGGGCCAUUACUGACGCUGAGGAGCGAAAGCGUGGGGAGCGAACAGG
rnacentral:rRNA from 1 species